rnacentral:lncRNA from 1 species
AUUUGCACCAAAAUCAUCUGACUCCCAAGCCUCUUCUCUUAACUGCUAUGAUAUGUAGCCCCCGCCGUGUCCCCCCUCACCUAGUGGUCACAGUCCAGGUCCUUGGAGUCAAGACCAAACCUGAAUCUGAAGCCUAACUAAGCACUUAGUACUAAGGAGUUUAGACUGCUUCCCAAGCUUCAUCAAACACUGCAAUGGUCUUUCAAAACUCUCCUAGCCAUGAAAAAGAUGGAGAAACUGCAUCUCAGACAGACUAUGGUGAUGGGCCUGGACAAAGCUGCUGGCUUCUGAAAGUCUCUCCCACACUGAAGAGGGAGGAUGGUGCCACGACUUCUAGGUGGUGGGAAGACCCAGCUCCAGCGUGGGCUUCCACUCUUCUUCCCAGGAAAGAAUUGAAGGCAUAAAGAAAAUAGGUUGUUAAAUAUUUCAAAGUACAGAAAGGUGAAAGGAAUUCUGUAAAGAACACCCAUAUGCCUACUACUCAGCUAAAGAAAUGAAUCAUCACAAGUAUGGUUGAAGCCCCUGUAUACACCCUAUUCUGUUUUCCCAUACCCUAUCUUUCUCCCUUCUUCCAGAUACAAGUUUUUUUAUUUUAUUUUAUAUACAUUAAUGGGUCCCUAACCAAAAAAAAAAGUGUUCCUUUCAAGUUUUUAGACUACAUAAUAGAAUUCUG